GUUGUAUGGUUAAGUGACUAAGCGUACACGGUGGAUGCCUGGGCAGUCAGAGGCGAUGAAGGACGUACUAACUUGCGAUAAGCGCAGAUAAGGCAGUAAGAGCCGUUUGAGUCUGCGAUUUCCGAAUGGGGAAACCCAACUGCAUAAGCAGUUACUGUUAACUGAAUACAUAGGUUAACAGAGCAAACCGGGGGAACUGAAACAUCUAAGUACCCCGAGGAGAAGAAAUCAACCGAGAUUCCGGUAGUAGCGGCGAGCGAACCUGGAUUAGCCCUUAAGCACUCGGUGAAGUAGGUGAACAAGCUGGAAAGCUUGGCGAUACAGGGUGAUAGCCCCGUAACCGACGCUUCAUCGAGCGUGAAAUCGAGU
rnacentral:rRNA from 1 species